GAACGCUAGCUACAGGCUUAACACAUGCAAGUCGAGGGGCAGCAUGGUCUUAGCUUGCUAAGGCCGAUGGCGACCGGCGCACGGGUGAGUAACACGUAUCCAACCUGCCGUCUACUCUUGGACAGCCUUCUGAAAGGAAGAUUAAUACAAGAUGGCAUCAUGAGUCCGCAUGUUCACAUGAUUAAAGGUAUUCCGGUAGACGAUGGGGAUGCGUUCCAUUAGAUAGUAGGCGGGGUAACGGCCCACCUAGUCUUCGAUGGAUAGGGGUUCUGAGAGGAAGGUCCCCCACAUUGGAACUGAGACACGGUCCAAACUCCUACGGGAGGCAGCAGUGAGGAAUAUUGGUCAAUGGGCGAGAGCCUGAACCAGCCAAGUAGCGUGAAGGAUGACUGCCCUAUGGGUUGUAAACUUCUUUUAUAAAGGAAUAAAGUCGGGUAUGGAUACCCGUUUGCAUGUACUUUAUGAAUAAGGAUCGGCUAACUCCGUGCCAGCAGCCGCGGUAAUACGGAGGAUCCGAGCGUUAUCCGGAUUUAUUGGGUUUAAAGGGAGCGUAGAUGGAUGUUUAAGUCAGUUGUGAAAGUUUGCGGCUCAACCGUAAAAUUGCAGUUGAUACUGGAUAUCUUGAGUGCAGUUGAGGCAGGCGGAAUUCGUGGUGUAGCGGUGAAAUGCUUAGAUAUCACGAAGAACUCCGAUUGCGAAGGCAGCCUGCUAAGCUGCAACUGACAUUGAGGCUCGAAAGUGUGGGUAUCAAACAGGAUUAGAUACCCUGGUAGUCCACACGGUAAACGAUGAAUACUCGCUGUUUGCGAUAUACUGCAAGCGGCCAAGCGAAAGCGUUAAGUAUUCCACCUGGGGAGUACGCCGGCAACGGUGAAACUCAAAGGAAUUGACGGGGGCCCGCACAAGCGGAGGAACAUGUGGUUUAAUUCGAUGAUACGCGAGGAACCUUACCCGGGCUUAAAUUGCAGAUGAAUUACGGUGAAAGCCGUAAGCCGCAAGGCAUCUGUGAAGGUGCUGCAUGGUUGUCGUCAGCUCGUGCCGUGAGGUGUCGGCUUAAGUGCCAUAACGAGCGCAACCCUUGUUGUCAGUUACUAACAGGUUCCGCUGAGGACUCUGACAAGACUGCCAUCGUAAGAUGUGAGGAAGGUGGGGAUGACGUCAAAUCAGCACGGCCCUUACGUCCGGGGCUACACACGUGUUACAAUGGGGGGUACAGAGGGCCGCUACCACGCGAGUGGAUGCCAAUCCCCAAAACCUCUCUCAGUUCGGACUGGAGUCUGCAACCCGACUCCACGAAGCUGGAUUCGCUAGUAAUCGCGCAUCAGCCACGGCGCGGUGAAUACGUUCCCGGGCCUUGUACACACCGCCCGUCAAGCCAUGGGAGCCGGGGGUACCUGAAGUGCGUAACCGCGAGGAGCGCCCUAGGGUAAAACUGGUGACUGGGG
rnacentral:rRNA from 1 species